UACGUAGGGUGCGAGCGUUAAUCGGAAUUACUGGGCGUAAAGCGUGCGCAGGCUGUUUUGUAAGUCAGAUGUGAAAUCCCCGAGCUCAACUUGGGAACUGCGUUUGAAACUACAAGACUAGAAUAUGUCAGAGGGGGGUAGAAUUCCACGUGUAGCAGUGAAAUGCGUAGAGAUGUGGAGGAAUACCAAUGGCGAAGGCAGCCCCCUGGGAUAAUAUUGACGCUCAUGCACGGAAGCGUGGGGAGCAAGCAGG
rnacentral:rRNA from 1 species